AACCCCAACCACAGGACCCAAUAUAAUAUUUAAGUCAACGGGGCGUGAUUGCAGAUGCCGUGCAGGUGCGUCCACCUUCCCUGCACGGCACCGCAGGCCAUGCCCCGCCACAUGUACCCAGCGAACUUUUAAAGUAGAAGGAGGGAGUGCUCCUUCGCUGGACGGAGCAGCGUAGGGGAAAACAGCGGCUCCUCAUGGAGAGAGAGCACUUCUUCCCCAAGGCCCGCUCUGGGCGGGCCUUGGGGACGCUGCAUUCUUCUGCCUGCUGCCUCUCCUGCAUCGGAGCAUUUGCCGCGGAGAGUGGGCAUCACUAGCCAAGCUUCGGCCGCUCGCUUUCUCACCACUCCACUCAUCGCUCGCCCGCCAGCCGCUUCACUCACCAGCCUCUCCAUCUCGCCAUGGCACAGCGGCUCCACCUCCCACUCGGCUCAACGGAGGCUCCCGCGCCAGAGGCUCAGCUAUUAACCCCACCCGCUUCCUCUUCCCGGAGAAAGCGGCCCACAUGCUGCCAUAAACUGGACUCUGCUGACCUAAUCCCCACGGUAAGUGAAGACUCUUUUUCUCCCGCUUCUCCGAACAUAAAAAACAAUAGACUCACCGCCGAUCCUUUCGGUGCUUCUAUACUGGACGAUGACAUAGACUGGGAAAACUGUUUCCGUUCAGCUCCCUCUGAGCUGGAAUUUAUGAAGGACAAUCACUGCACUUCCACACCUCCAAUGACUGUUAAGUUAAAGACUAUAAAUAGUGGUGGCAGAAGGGCCAAAACAAUGUCUGAUAAAUCUGUUGUUACGGUUCCUGUGUAUGUAAACCCUAGGUCUAUUCAUUCCAAGACUGUUUUAUCUGAGCCUGCUCUUUCAUCUACCUGUGUUCCUGCUCCAAGGGCAGCUCGGGCCCAGCCUUUCUCCACACCCGUUUUAGUUUCUCAGGUGGGGAAAGCUGAGGUUCAGCUGGUCCCUACCCCGGCUCCCAGGCCGGCUGAGGCUCUCUCAGUCCCUGCACCCGUACCAGCUCCUCGGGUGGGGAUGGCAGCUGCCCAGCCAUUGCCUGUGCCUGUGCCAGCUCCCAGGAUGAGGGCAGCUGUGACUCAGUCUACCCCCACACCCAUUCCCUUUUCUCGGAUGGGGGCGACUGGUGUCCAGCCACCCGUGCCUGUCCCAAUAUCCAGGGUGAGGGCAGCCAGAAUCCAGCAUGACUUCCCUAGAGGCUCAGCUGAGACUCUCCA
rnacentral:lncRNA from 1 species